rnacentral:rRNA from 1 species
GAUGAACGCUGGCGGCGUGCCUAAUACAUGCAAGUCGAGCGAACGGACGAGAAGCUUGCUUCUCUGAUGUUAGCGGCGGACGGGUGAGUAACACGUGGAUAACCUACCUAUAAGACUGGGAUAAUUUCGGGAAACCGGAGCUAAUACCGGAUGAUAUUUUGAACCGCAUGGUUCAAAAGUGAAAGACGGUCUUGCUGUCACUUAUAGAUGGAUCCGCGCUGCAUUAGCUAGUUGGUAAGGUAACGGCUUACCAAGGCAACGAUGCAUAGCCGACCUGAGAGGGUGAUCGGCCACACUGGAACUGAGACACGGUCCAGACUCCUACGGGAGGCAGCAGUAGGGAAUCUUCCGCAAAGGGCGAAAGCCUGACGGAGCAACGCCGCGUGAGUGAUGAAGGUCUUCGGAUCGUAAAACUCUGUUAUUAGGGAAGAACAUAUGUGUAAGUAACCGUGCACAUCUUGACGGUACCUAAUCAGAAAGCCACGGCUAACUACGUG